rnacentral:rRNA from 1 species
CGCAGCCGCGGUAAUUCCGGCUCCAAUAGCGUAUAUUAAAGUUGCUGCAGUUAAAAAGCUCGUAGUUGAAUUUCGGGACUAAUAUGUCGGUCGUGCCUCGGUACGUACUGGUAUUUUUGGUUUCUCCCUUCUGACGAACCUUGAUGUCAUUAAUUUGGUGUCUUGGGAAAUCAGGACUGUUACUUUGAAAAAAUUAGAGUGUUUAAAGCAGGCUCACGCUUGAAUGCAUUAGCAUGGAAUAAUGAAAUAGGACGUUUGAUUCUAUUUUGUUGGUUUCUAGGAUCGACGUAAUGAUUAAUAGGGAUAGUUGGGGGCAUUAGUAUUCAAUUGUCAGAGGUGAAAUUCUUGGAUUUAUUGAAGCUAACUACUGCGAAAGCAAUUUGCCAGGAUGUUUUCAUUAAUCAAGAACGUAAAGUUAGGGGUCGAAGACGAUCAGAUACCGUCGUAGUCUUAACCAUAAACCUAUGCCGACUAGGGAUCGGAUGAUGUUAAUUUUUAAUGUACUCAUUCGGCGUCCUUACGGGAAACCAAAGUUGUUAGGGUUCG